UACGGAAGGCAGCAGUGGGGAAUAUUGCACAAUGGGCGCAAGCCUGAUGCAGCCAUGCCGCGUGUAUGAAGAAGGCCUUCGGGUUGUAAAGUACUUUCAGCGGGGAGGAAGGCGAUGCGGUUAAUAACCGCGUCGAUUGACGUUACCCGCAGAAGAAGCACCGGCUAACUCCGUGCCAGCAGCCGCGGUAAUACGGAGGGUGCAAGCGUUAAUCGGAAUUACUGGGCGUAAAGCGCACGCAGGCGGUCUGUUAAGUCAGAUGUGAAAUCCCCGGGCUUAACCUGGGAACUGCAUUUUGAAACUGGCAGGCUUGAGUCUUGUAGAGGGGGUAGAAUUCCAGGUGUAGCGGUGAAAUGCGUAGAGAUCUGGAGGAAUACCGGUGGCGAAGGCGGCCCCUGGGACAAGACUGACGCUCAGGUGCGAAAGCGUGGGGAGCAAACAGGAUUAGAUACC
rnacentral:rRNA from 1 species